rnacentral:rRNA from 1 species
GACGAACGCUGGCGGCGUGCCUAAUACAUGCAAGUAGAACGCUGAAGAGAGGAGCUUGCUCUUCUUGGAUGAGUUGCGAACGGGUGAGUAACGCGUAGGUAACCUGCCUUGUAGCGGGGGAUAACUAUUGGAAACGAUAGCUAAUACCGCAUAACAAUGGAUGACACAUGUCAUUUAUUUGAAAGGGGCAAUUGCUCCACUACAAGAUGGACCUGCGUUGUAUUAGCUAGUAGGUGAGGUAAUGGCUCACCUAGGCGACGAUACAUAGCCGACCUGAGAGGGUGAUCGACCACACUGGGACUGAGACACGGCCCAGACUCCUACGGGAGGCAGCAGUAGGGAAUCUUCGGCAAUGGGGGCAACCCUGACCGAGCAACGCCGCGUGAGUGAAGAAGGUUUUCGGAUCGUAAAGCUCUGUUGUAAGUCAAGAACGGGUGUGAGAGUGGAAAGUUCACACUGUGACGGUAGCUUACCAGAAAGGGACGGCUAACUACGUG